rnacentral:rRNA from 1 species
AUACGUAGGGUGCGAGCGUUAUCCGGAAUUAUUGGGCGUAAAGAGCUCGUAGGCGGUUUGUCGCGUCUGUCGUGAAAGUCCGGGGCUUAACCCCGGAUCUGCGGUGGGUACGGGCAGACUAGAGUGCAGUAGGGGAGACUGGAAUUCCUGGUGUAGCGGUGGAAUGCGCAGAUAUCAGGAGGAACACCGAUGGCGAAGGCAGGUCUCUGGGCUGUAACUGACGCUGAGGAGCGAAAGCAUGGGGAGCGAACAGGAUUAGAUACCCUGGUAGUCCAUGCCGUAAACGUUGGGCACUAGGUGUGGGGACCAUUCCACGGUUUCCGCGCCGCAGCUAACGCAUUAAGUGCCCCGCCUGGGGAGUACGGCCGCAAGGCUAAA